rnacentral:rRNA from 1 species
AUUGAACGCUGGCGGCAGGCUUAACACAUGCAAGUCGAGCGGAGAGAGGUAGCUUGCUACUGAUCUUAGCGGCGGACGGGUGAGUAAUGCUUAGGAAUCUGCCUAUUAGUGGGGGACAACAUUUCGACAGGAAUGCUAAUACCGCAUACGUCCUACGGGAGAAAGCAGGGGAUCGUCGGACCUUGCGCUAAUAGAUGAGCCUAAGUCGGAUUAGCUAGUUGGUGGGGUAAAGGCCUACCAAGGCGACGAUCUGUAGCGGGUCUGAGAGGAUGAUCCGCCACACUGGGACUGAGACACGGCCCAGACUCCUACGGGAGGCAGCAGUGGGGAAUAUUGGACAAUGGGCGCAAGCCUGAUCCAGCCAUGCCGCGUGUGUGAAGAAGGCCUUAUGGUUGUAAAGCACUUUAAGCGAGGAGGAGGCUACUUUAGUUAAUACCUAGAGAUAGUGGACGUUACUCGCAGAAUAAGCACCGGCUAACUCUGUGCCAGCCGCCGCCGUAAUAC